AUGACUCGACACAUGCAACCAGAACAAAAUUAUGUUGCGGGAGAUAAACUAGUUAUGAAGAAUUUCAUGAUUACACCUGGAUUUAGCACUUCUCAAAUGGAGCAGAGGUCCUCUGAUCAAAUUGUUCUUGAUGUAAAUGAUGAUAACAUAGAUAAUGGGCAAUGCCACCAUUUCUCCAUAAGUGGGUAUGUUCGUGAGAUGCAGAUGAAUGACUCAAAUUUCCGUUCACUAUUUGAUGACCACAUCAAUUCAUUGCUAGUUACUACAAAAACAUUUCGACGAUGGUAUUGCGAAAGCUGCAGGCAUAAAUUGGAACCAUUACAUAAUAAUACCAGCACACCAGCUAGAAUGUUGAAUGAAUUUGCACGAGGACUAAAACAUGACGUCCGCAAGGAAUUAUCGCAAGAGACGGGUUCGGAGGAAUGUCGUUCACCUUCCUACAAUAUAGAAUCCAUGAAAGUAGAUCGAGUUGUAAAUGAUUCAUAUGAGUCAACACCGAUUAAUCGGAGGAACGGUGCUGCAAAAUGUCAUUCACCAGUGUUGAAAACCUACAAGAGAAGGAAGAACACCAAAGUGCACGAAGUUAUAAAUAAUAGUUCUUUUGUGGAAUAUCAAGAUACCUCUGGCAUGGCUUCAACUUUUGCCCAUGCAUUACCGUCUUCGAGCAGUUAUAACUCGGAAAAGGCAGCACAAAUAAGUAUUGAACCUCGGAACCAGAGUGCAUUAAAUCUGAUCCAGGUAAAUGGUUUCCGAUCCAUAUUAGAAACAAAGGCAGGAAAUAUGUUCGAUCCAAGAAUGUCAGGACCUUUGACGGGUUACUAUACAAGUGACCAUAUGCAGGGAAGACAUCUUCAUGGAUCAGUAGACUUGUGGAAGCACACAUGCUUCACACAAUGUGAAGUGUCUACAGGGAACAUGCCAAGCCGUUGUCUACUUCCUAAUUCAUACCAUCUGCAUGAUCAGUAUGAUGUAGAAAAUUUCAUAUGGUACAGAGACAGCAACAUCAUCAAUGAAAGUUGUGCACCGAUCAUGGAUAUUUCUGCAAAGUAUCAACAUCCACAUUGUCCGAGUAAACCAUUUCGCCCUGUUCCUAGGAUUGGUGUGCUCAGUCCCAUGUUGCAGAAAGAAGUCACAACAUAUUCGGAGAGCUGUGGAACACAGUCUGGCUACCGACUAGGCAUGUCUGAGGAGGAAAUGCCUUGCCAGAUGUACAGAGGGGAAAACUCGGCAUCAAGCUCACAAAAAUUCCAGGCAAUGUACAGCCCCCAACAUUUGGGUUAUGUCAACUCUGUUGGAAUACCAGAACUUCUGCCAGAGAGGGAGAAUUCACAUUCAAGCAAAGGCAAAAGCAAAAUGGUAUAUUCUUCGGAUAAGUCUGCACAACAGGAUAUAUGUGCUCAGGCUCUGUCUCUCUCUGGUGUGGCCACAAAUGCUGCAACUCGUGGAAGGAGUUGA
rnacentral:rRNA from 1 species